rnacentral:ncRNA from 1 species
GGUAAAGACUUAGUAGUUCUUAGAUGUGCUUCUAUCAUCAAUGAUGACCGCACAUGGACGUGCGGUCAAGCAAUCAGCGACACGAUGUCGCAUUGGUUGCGGUCACGUUUGGCUUUAAUGCCUACACUAGCACAUCUUAGAACUACUUAGC